rnacentral:rRNA from 1 species
AUACGGGGGGUGCAAGCGUUAAUCGGAAUUACAGGGCGUAAAGCGCGCGUAGGCGGUUUGCUCAGUCGGAUGUGAAAGCCCAGGGCUCAACCUUGGAACUGCAUACGAUACUGGCAAACUAGAGUGUGAGAGAGGAUAGUGGAAUUUCCGGUGUAGCGGUGAAAUGCGUAGAUAUCGGAAGGAACAUCAGUGGCGAAGGCGACUGUCUGGCUCAACACUGACGCUGAGGUGCGAAAGCGUGGGUAGCAAACAGGAUUAGAAACCCUAGUAGUCC